CCAGUUCUGCGGCCCCGUGUCCCUCGGCGGAGGCAGCCUGUGCCGGGGUGGGACUUGGAGAGCUUGGGGUCCAUGGGUGCGGGGACCCGGGAGAGGAGCGCGGGACGGCGGCCGCCCGCAGACUCACCGCUGCGUGGUCGAUGUCGGCGUCCGGCCUCUGGGUGGAGGGAGGCAGGUACUCGGCGUAGCGCAGCCCCUCUCUGGAGGCCACGCCGCCACCGGUAGCCAUAGCAGUGCGCGUGGCUCCCAAGGACGCGCUGCGUUGCUACGAGUCUACGAGACGACCGUAGGGACAAACUAGUGCGGGCGGGUUAGCUUCGCGCUCUGGGAUCUCCUGGGGCUAGACGUGUUGUGUUACCUUCCACCACACCCACCACGCCUGGGGCUGAGAAGUGGCCAGUGUUCCAGAGAAAUCUCAUCCCCAGUGACCACUCAGCCCUCAGCCUUUGGUUCUUCAGCAGGCUCAACCUUACCAGCAAAUAACGAUAAAAACAAAAGCAGUGAAAUCCUUUCCUCUCCCUCAAGGAUCUCUUCUUGCUUUAGCUAAACUCACUUCUCUGGCUUCCUUGAGAAUGAUGAUAAAUGUUGUUUUGUGAAAUAAAAAAGAGAGGUGUAUUAAA